rnacentral:rRNA from 1 species
UACAGAGGGGGCAAGCGUUAUUCGGAAUUAUUGGGCGUAAAGGGCGCGUAGGCGGCUUGGCAAGUGGAAGGUGAAAUCCCUCGGCUUAACCGAGGAACUGCCCUCCAAACUGCUUGGCUUGAGACCGGGAGAGGUGAGUGGAAUUCCCAGUGUAGCGGUGAAAUGCGUAGAUAUUGGGAAGAACACCCGUGGCUAAGGCGGCUCUCUAGUACGGUACUGACGCUGAGACGCGAAAGCGUGGGGAGCGAACAGG